CCUACGGGUGGCAGCAGUGGGGAAUAUUGCACAAUGGGCGAAAGCCUGAUGCAGCAACGCCGCGUGAAGGAAGACGGUUUUCUGAUUGUAAACUUCUGUUCUUAGUGAAGAAUAAUGCCGGUAACUAAGGAUCAAGCCACUGCUAACUACGUGCCAGCAGCCGCGGUCAUACGUAGGUGGCAAGCGUUGUCCGGAAUUACUGGGUGUAAAGGGAGCGUAGGCGGGAAGCCAAGUCAGCUGUGAAAACUACGGGCUUAACCUGUAGACUGCAGUUGAAACUGGCUUGCUUGAGUGAAGUAGAGGUUGGCGGAAUUCCGAGUGUAGCGGUGAAAUGCGUAGAUAUUCGGAGGAACACCGGUGGCGAAGGCGGCCAACUGGGGUGUAACUGACGCUGAGGCUCGAAAGUGUGGGGAGCAAACAGGAUUAGAUACCCUUGUAGUC
rnacentral:rRNA from 1 species